rnacentral:lncRNA from 1 species
CGUACAUGCAUGCAUGUGGGUGUUGAGAGUAAAAAUCCCUCGAUGCCGAGAAGCCACACAGGCGUGGACCUGCUUCGUCAAGCAGAAAGCGGGAGAGUGACGUGAUGUCACGCAGAGCUUGGUCCUGCUGGAGAUUUGGGGAAGUCUCAAGGAAAGUCCAGAAUUGGCUAGUUGGAUGAAGUAUGCCUGAGCUGAGGCUUGAAUGCUUUUGAAAAUCAGCAAACACAACUACAGUCUCCACGAUAUAAACCAAUCUGCUGGACCACUUCCGAUUUCAGCUCUGACACAUGAAGAGCUUGGAAGUCAUCAUUCCCAUCCUUCACAAAAAGUAAAAACCAAACAAACUGAGAAUUGAUGACUUUUCCUGGGUCCCUCAGAGAAUAAAGGUUUCAGGCAAACUGCCACCUUGACAUCUGGAGACAGAGGAAAAUCCAAAGAGACAUAGCCAAGAUCCGUUUACCAGAACCUGAAGACAACAGAACGAUCAACUAGUAGAAAAACUUAAAUAAUAAUUUUGAUGACUUGCUGGAGGCAGAGUGUGAAUUUGCCUGAGAGUGAGAGACCUGGUAUUUGGUGACUACAGCAUACAGGGCUUUGUCUGGGGGCUAUCAUUUUCCACUGUUGUGCAAAGCCCAGACUGCAUCCUCUAGGAUAAGCACCUAAGUGAGGAGGAACCCUGGGCCCCUAGGUGAUGACCAUGCC